rnacentral:rRNA from 1 species
GACGAACGCUGGCGGCGUGCUUAACACAUGCAAGUCGAACGGAAGGGCCCUGCUUUUGUGGGGUGCUCGAGUGGCGAACGGGUGAGUAACACGUGAGUAACCUGCCCUUAACUUUGGGAUAACUUCAGGAAACUGGGGCUAAUACCGGAUAGGAGCUCCUGCUGCAUGGUGGGGGUUGGAAAGUUUCGGCGGUUGGGGAUGGACUCGCGGCUUAUCAGCUUGUUGGUGGGGUAGUGGCUUACCAAGGCUUUGACGGGUAGCCGGCCUGAGAGGGUGACCGGCCACAUUGGGACUGAGAUACGGCCCAGACUCCUACGGGAGGCAGCAGUGGGGAAUAUUGCACAAUGGGCGGAAGCCUGAUGCAGCAACGCCGCGUGCGGGAUGACGGCCUUCGGGUUGUAAACCGCUUUCGCCUGUGACGAAGCGUGAGUGACGGUAAUGGGUAAAGAAGCACCGGCUAACUACGUGCCAGCAGCCGCGGUGAUACGUAGGGUGCGAGCGUUGUCCGGAUUUAUUGGGCGUAAAGGGCUCGUAGGUGGUUGAUCGCGUCGGAAGUGUAAUCUUGGGGCUUAACCCUGAGCGUGCUUUCGAUACGGGUUGACUUGAGGAAGGUAGGGGAGAAUGGAAUUCCUGGUGGAGCGGUGGAAUGCGCAGAUAUCAGGAGGAACACCAGUGGCGAAGGCGACUCUCUGGUCUGUAACUGACGCUGAGGCUCGAAAGCGUGGGUAGCAAACAGGAUUAGAUACCCUGGUAGUCCACGCCGUAAACGAUGAGUGCUAAGUGUUGGAGGGUUUCCGCCCUUCAGUGCUGCAGUUAACGCAUUAAGCACUCCGCCUGGGGAGUACGACCGCAAGGUUGAAACUCAAAGGAAUUGACGGGGACCCGCACAAGCGGUGGAGCAUGUGGUUUAAUUCGAAGCAACACGAAGAACCUUACCAAGUCUUGACAUCCUUUGACCACUCUAGAGAUAGAGCUUUCCCUUCGGGGACAAAGUGACAGGUGGUGCAUGGUUGUCGUCAGCUCGUGUCGUGAGAUGUUGGGUUAAGUCCCGCAACGAGCGCAACCCUUAUUACUAGUUGCCAGCAUUCAGUUGGGCACUCUAGUGAGACUGCCGGUGACAAACCGGAGGAAGGUGGGGAUGACGUCAAAUCAUCAUGCCCCUUAUGACUUGGGCUACACACGUGCUACAAUGGAUGGUACAACGAGCAGCGAACUCGCGAGGGUAAGCGAAUCUCUUAAAGCCAUUCUCAGUUCGGAUUGUAGGCUGCAACUCGCCUACAUGAAGCCGGAAUCGCUAGUAAUCGCGGAUCAGCACGCCGCGGUGAAUACGUUCCCGGGUCU